rnacentral:tRNA from 2 species
GUUGAGGUGGCAGAGCUCGGCAAAUGCAAAAGGCCUAAGCCCUUUUUACAGAGGUUCAAUUCCCCUCCUCAACU